AAAAAAACUAAGCCCAAUGCGGGGCUCGAACCCGCGACAACCAGAUUAAGAGUCUGGUGCUCUACCGACUGAGCUAACCGGGCGGCGAAUGAGAAG
ensembl:ncRNA C40C9.9 ncRNA